rnacentral:rRNA from 1 species
GACGAACGCUGGCGGCGUGCUUAACACAUGCAAGUCGAACGGAAAGGCCCUGCUUUUGUGGGGUGCUCGAGUGGCGAACGGGUGAGUAACACGUGAGUAACCUGCCCUUGACUUUGGGAUAACUUCAGGAAACUGGGGCUAAUACCGGAUAGGAGCUCCUGCUGCAUGGUGGGGGUUGGAAAGUUUCGGCGGUUGGGGAUGGACUUGCGGCUUAUCAGCUUGUUGGUGGGGUAGUGGCUUACCAAGGCUUUGACGGGUAGCCGGCCUGAGAGGGUGACCGGCCACAUUGGGACUGAGAUACGGCCCAGACUCCUACGGGAGGCAGCAGUGGAGAAUAUUGCACAAUGGGCGGAAGCCUGAUGCAGCAACGCCGCGUGCGGGAUGACGGCCUUCGGGUUGUAAACCGCUUUCGCCUGUGACGAAGCGUGAGUGACGGUAAUGGGUAAAGAAGCACCGGCUAACUACGUG